rnacentral:rRNA from 1 species
CCUACGGGGGGCAGCAGUGAGGAAUAUUGGUCAAUGGACGAGAGUCUGAACCAGCCAAGUAGCGUGAAGGAUGACUGCCCUAUGGGUUGUAAACUUCUUUUAUAUGGGAAUAAAACGUUCCACGUGUGGGAUUUUGUAUGUACCAUAUGAAUAAGGAUCGGCUAACUCCGUGCCAGCAGCCGCUGUAAUACGGAGGAUCCGAGCGUUAUCCGGAUUUAUUGGGUUUAAAGGGAGCGUAGGUGGAUUGUUAAGUCAGUUGUGAAAGUUUGCGGCUCAACCGUAAAAUUGCAGUUGAAACUGGCAGUCUUGAGUACAGUAGAGGUGGGCGGAAUUCGUGGUGUAGCGGUGAAAUGCUUAGAUAUCACGAAGAACUCCGAUUGCGAAGGCAGUUCACUGGACUGCAACUGACACUGAGGCUCGAAAGUGUGGGUAUCAAACAGGAUUAGAUACCCUAGUAGUC